GACGAACGCUGGCGGCGUGCUUAACACAUGCAAGUCGAACGGAAAGGCCCUGCUUUUGUGGGGUGCUCGAGUGGCGAACGGGUGAGUAACACGUGAGUAAUCUGCCCUUGGCUUUGGGAUAACUUCAGGAAACUGGGGCUAAUACCGGAUAGGAGCUCCUGCUGCAUGGUGGGGGUUGGAAAGUUUCGGCGGUUGGGGAUGGACUCGCGGCUUAUCAGCUUGUUGGUGGGGUAGUGGCUUACCAAGGCUUUGACGGGUAGCCGGCCUGAGAGGGUGACCGGCCACAUUGGGACUGAGAUACGGCCCAGACUCCUACGGGAGGCAGCAGUGGGGAAUAUUGCACAAUGGGCGGAAGCCUGAUGCAGCAACGCCGCGUGCGGGAUGACGGCCUUCGGGUUGUAAACCGCUUUCGCCUGUGACGAAGCGUGAGUGACGGUAAUGGGUAAAGAAGCACCGGCUAACUACGUG
rnacentral:rRNA from 1 species